AUUGAACGCUGGCGGCAGGCCUAACACCUGCAAGUCGAACGAGUGGCGGACGGGUGAGUAAUGUCUGGGUAACUGCCCGAUGGAGGGGGAUAACUACUGGAAACGGUAGCUAAUACCGCAUACCAUCGGAUGUGCCCAGAUGGGAUUAGCUUGUAGGUGAGGUAACGGCUCACCUAGCCGACGAGCCCUAGCUGGUCUGAGAGGAUGACCAGGCGCACUGGAACUGAGACACGGUCCAGACUCCUACGGGAGGCAGCAGUGGGGAAUAUGGCACAAUGGGCGCAAGCCUGAUGCAGCCAUGCCGCGUGUAUGAAGAAGGCCUUCGGGUUGUAAAGUACUUUCAGCGGGGAGGCGGUACCCGCAGAAGAAGCACCGGCUAACUCCGUGCCAGCAGCCGCGGUAAUAC
rnacentral:rRNA from 1 species